GGGCCCGCACAAGCGGUGGAGCAUGUGGUUUAAUUCGAUGAUACGCGAGGAACCUUACCAGGGCUUAAAUGUAGUCUGACAGGGGUGGAAACACCCCCUCCUUCGGGCAGAUUACAAGGUGCUGCAUGGUUGUCGUCAGCUCGUGCCGUGAGGUGUCAGGUUAAGUCCUAUAACGAGCGCAACCCCCUGCCGUUAGUUGCCAGCAUGUAAUGAUGGGAACUCUAACGGGACUGCCGGUGCAAACCGCGAGGAAGGUGGGAUGACGUCAAAUCAUCACGGCCCUUACGUCCUGGGCUACACACGUGCUACAAUGGCCGGUACAGAGGGCAGCCACACGCAAGGUGGAGCGAAUCCUUAAAACCGGUCUC
rnacentral:rRNA from 1 species